AUGAAUUAUGCUUAUGGAGAUGAACUUGCUAUAGUUCCUUAUGUUAAACAUGAAAUUGUUGCUAUUGCACCCACGCAUGAUAGUCCUAUUAUCUUUUUGAAUUCUCCCAACUACACUAUAUCGGAGAAGUUUGUGCUUAUUAAGGAUUAUAUUGAUGGGUUGCCUUUUACCAUUGCACAUGGUGAUUUUGAUGAAUAUAAUAUGCAUGUGCUUGCUGCUCCUACUUGCAAUUAUUAUGAGAGAGGAACUAUAUCUCCACCUCUCUAUGUUUCCCAUACGCUAAAAUUGCAAGAAACUGCUUAUACUAUGCAUUGGCCUUUACUUGGUGUGCAUGAAUUGUUCUUUUAUGACAUGUCGAUGCAUAGGAAGAGAGUUAGAUUUUGUUGUUUCAUGAUAUAUGUUACUUUGUGCUUACUACUAAAUUAUAAAUCAUUGUUAAUUAAAAUUGGCUUUGAUAUACCUUGGGAUCCGGGUGGAUUCAUUACUUGA
rnacentral:rRNA from 1 species